rnacentral:rRNA from 1 species
GACGAACGCUGGCGGCGUGCCUAAUACAUGCAAGUUGAGCGCUGAAGGUUGGUACUUGUACCAACUGGAUGAGCAGCGAACGGGUGAGUAACGCGUGGGGAAUCUGCCUUUGAGCGGGGGACAACAUUUGGAAACGAAUGCUAAUACCGCAUAAAAACUUUAAACACAAGUUUUAAGUUUGAAAGAUGCAAUUGCAUCACUCAAAGAUGAUCCCGCGUUGUAUUAGCUAGUUGGUGAGGUAAAGGCUCCAAGGCGAUGAUACAUAGCCGACCUGAGAGGGUGAUCGGCCACAUUGGGACUGAGACACGGCCCAAACUCCUACGGGAGGCAGCAGUAGGGAAUCUUCGGCAAUGGACGAAAGUCUGACCGAGCAACGCCGCGUGAGUGAAGAAGGUUUUCGGAUCGUAAAACUCUGUUGGUAGAGAAGAACGUUGGUGAGAGUGGAAAGCUCAUCAAGUGACGGUAACUACCCAGAAAGGGACGGCUAACUACGUG